rnacentral:rRNA from 1 species
UACGAAGGGGGCUAGCGUUGUUCGGAAUCACUGGGCGUAAAGCGCACGUAGGCGGACUUUUAAGUCAGGGGUGAAAUCCCGAGGCUCAACCUCGGAACUGCCUUUGAUACUGGGAGUCUUGAGUGUGGUAGAGGUUGGUGGAACAGCAAGUGUAGAGGUGAAAUUCGUAGAUAUUUGCUAGAACACCAGUGGCGAAGGCGGCCAACUGGACCAUAACUGACGCUGAGGUGCGAAAGCGUGGGGAGCAAACAGG